CCCAGCGUGGUGUAAUGGUUUGAGUGCUGGACUAUGACUCUAGAGACCAGGGUUCAAAUCCCAGCACAGUGA